AAACUUUAAUGCUUUUCAUAAUUCUCUAUAAUAAAAUAGUUAUUUAUUAACUAUGACGAUAAACGGUACGUUCAAUAGGCGAACUGGACCCGGGGGCGGUACCCGGCGCCUCCACCAACUUGGGGGCGAAAUAGGAUCGACAGGCGUUGAAAAGCGUUACUUUUCGUUCGGUAUUGUACCACCGUAAAGGACAAAAUUAUAAAUGCAAACGACAAUAGUCGUGAGGUUGCAUUAGCAGCGUAGAGCUGUUAAUUUAACUAUGCAGUAACUCCUAAAUUGGUCACACAUUUUAGGCGGGGUUUGAAGGCACCUGGCAACAGAAGCCUUCUAAA
rnacentral:tmRNA from 2 species